GGCCUUAUUAUGAGCGGUAGUACGUGGCUACGGCUCUCUGUUGAGGUCUUCCGAGACCCCACGGAACCCUAGCCAUGGCGAAGCCUAGAUCGGGAUUCCUCGUCGUCGUCGUCCUCCUCCUCGCGGCUCUUGUCCUCGCCGCCUCUCCUGCGGCGUUGGCGACCUCCGAUGCCCCCUUCAUGGUUGCGCACAAGAAGGUGAGCCUCACGCGGCAUAAAUCUGGCGUGGACCGAGUCUCCGUCUCGAUCGACCUCUACAACCAAGGAUCCUCGACUGCAUAUGAUGUGAGUCUGAAUGAUGAUAGUUGGUCCCAAGAUAUGUUUAAUCUCGUCUCUGACAGCACAUCAAAGACAUGGGAAAGGCUUGAUGUUGGUUCCUCUGCUUCUCACUCCUUUAUCUUGGAGUCUAAAACAAAAGGCAUGUUCCAUGGUUCUCCCGCUGUCAUCAAAUUCCGUAUCCCCACAAAGGCUGCACUGCAGUCAUUAAUGUUGGCCAUGAAGGAAGACCUUUGGUGUUUCAUUUCCCUGAGUUACUGCUUGAGAAAUCUGCGAGAGAAUAUCAGUGAAGCGUAUUCUACUCCCAUUUUGCCAUUAGAUGUUCUUGCUGACAAGCCUCCUGAAAAGAAGUUAGAAUGGGUGAGUUAUCCACAUACCACUAUUCAUCCGUUGUACACUGGUUGUUUCCUUUGUUUUAUCACUUACUAAUGUUCGGUUGCAACUUUCAUGUGAUGUCUCUACUUUAAAAACCGUCAUGCUAUGAUCCAACCUGGUGCAGGCAAAGAGGCUGUUGGCAAAGUAUGGAUCUCUGGUGUCGGUUCUGACACUGGUCGGAUUGUUCAUCUAUGUGAUUGCAACUCCAUCGAAGAUGACGAGCAAGAAGAGGCGGUAAAUUGCAGUAUCUGGUGGAUGUUUGCUUGAUUUUUCUUUGAAGAUACCCUGGAGGACUGUAAGCUGAGUUUUGCUUCGUCAUGCUUAAAACAUAACCUUGUGCCGUCGCUAGGACUGGUAGAGGCUUCAAGGGUGUUUAACCUUUGUCCUUGGCUGAUAUUUGUAGCGUUCUUAAAUCCACUAGAAUUUGAAUUUGGAUGAAACGUAUGCAUCGAAACUUUUACUUCCCA